rnacentral:rRNA from 1 species
UUAGAGUUUGAUCCUGGCUCAGGACGAACGCUGGCGGCGUGCCUAACACAUGCAAGUCGAACGGAGAUACUUUUGAAGCUUGCGAAGGAGUAUCUUAGUGGCGGACGGGUGAGUAACGCGUGGGUAAUCUGCCCAUAAGCGGGGAACAACAGUUGGAAACGACUGCUAAUACCGCAUAAACUGCCUAAGGGCAGGAAAGGUGGCCUCUGAAUAUGCUGCCGCUUAUGGAUGAGCCCGCGUCUGAUUAGCUGGUUGGUGGGGUAAAGGCCUACCAAGGCGACGAUCAGUAGCCGGCCUGAGAGGGUGAACGGCCACACUGGGACUGAGACACGGCCCAGACUCCUACGGGAGGCAGCAGUGGGGAAUAUUGCGCAAUGGGGGAAACCCUGACGCAGCGACGCCGCGUGAGCGAAGAAGGCCUUAGGGUUGUAAAGCUCUGUUUUAGGGGACGAAAGCUAUAGGGAGAAAUAUGCCCUGUAAAUGACGGUACCCUAAGAGGAAGCCCCGGCUAACUACGUGCCAGCAGCCGCGGUAAGACGUAGGGGGCGAGCGUUGUCCGGAAUUACUGGGCGUAAAGAGCACGUAGGCGGGAACUUAAGUCGGGUGUGAAAGACCGUGGCUCAACCACGGGUAUGCAUUUGAAACUGGGUUUCUUGAGGGCAGGAGAGGAAAGCAGAAUUCCUGGUGUAGCGGUGAAAUGCGUAGAAAUCAGGAGGAAUACCAGUGGCGAAGGCGGCUUUCUGGACUGACCCUGACGCUGAGGUGCGAAAGCGUGGGUAGCAAACAGGAUUAGAUACCCUGGUAGUCCACGCCGUAAACGAUGGAUAAAAGGUGUAGGGGUGGUCCAUGACCUUUGUCCCGCCCGCUAACGCAUUAAAGUAUUCCGCCCUGGGGAGUACGGUCGCAAGAUUAAAAACUCAAAGGAAUUGACGGGGGCCCGCACAAGCAGCGGAGCAUGUGGUUUAAUUCGAAGCAACGCGAAGAACCUUACCUAGACUUGACAUCUCCUGCAUUACUCUUAAUCGAGGAAGUCUCUUCGGAGACAGGAUGACAGGUGGUGCAUGGUUGUCGUCAGCUCGUGUCGUGAGAUGUUGGGUUAAGUCCCGCAACGAGCGCAACCCUCAUUGUUAGUUGCCAUCAUUAAGUUGGGCACUCUAGCGAGACUGCCCGGGUUAACCGGGAGGAAGGUGGGGAUGACGUCAAAUCAUCAUGCCCCUUAUGUCUAGGGCUACACACGUGCUACAAUGGUCGGUACAACGAGGAGCAAGCUAGCGAUAGCAAGCAAAUCUCUUAAAGCCGAUCCCAGUUCGGAUUGCAGGCUGCAACUCGCCUGCAUGAAGUCGGAGUUGCUAGUAAUCGCGGAUCAGAAUGUCGCGGUGAAUGCGUUCCCGGGUCUUGUACUCACCGCCCGUCA